UUGUAGCUGGUGAAAUGUGGCUUACGGAAGACCCACUCCCCGGCACAACUCGUGGGGGGCCCAAGUCCUUUUGACCAAGGCCCAGCCCCUGGCAGG